CACUUCAGGAAUUCUCUAAAAGCAUGCAUAUCAUCCACGAAAUUCCUCUACGGUGGUUCAAUAAUUAACCCUAUUGUCACGGCACUGUAUAGCUAAAUGAACAAUAAAGUGAGAUAUCAUAAGAAUCAAAUCAAAUAUAGAUUCAAAUGAUCCUAUCACAGAUCCAUAAAAAGCAGGAACAUUUACACAUUACUUUUCUUCCCUGUUGGUGUGUAGUAAUCCAGAUACCAACGCACAAAUUUCUUCAACCCCGUUUGCAAAUCAGUGGUUGGCUUGUACCCAAGCUCCCUCUGCGCCAAGCUGAUAUUCGCAUGAGUAAACAACACAUCACCAUUUGCAGGCAUUGGCAGCACAAUUUUCUUGGCCUUGACCUUCAACAGCUUCUCCAAUAUAUUCACAAGCUUGCUAACCGGUACAGGUGAAGUAUUUCCAAGGUUAAACACUCUCAAUUGGGCAGGUCCCUU
rnacentral:misc_RNA from 1 species